UAAUUUGUCUACUAACUUAAAUCUAUAUAUAUAAAAGAAAGUGUUGUUAGUUACACUACUUAUAACUCAAGAACGGAUGAACCGAUUUGGCUGAAAAUUGGUGGAGAGGUAGCUUAGAACCAGGAGACGGACAUAGGAUACUUU